AGUGAACGCUGGCGGUAGGCCUAACACAUGCAAGUCGAACGGCAGCACAGUAAGAGCUUGCUCUUACGGGUGGCGAGUGGCGUACGGGUGAGGAAUACAUCGGAAUCUACUUUUUCGUGGGGGAUAACGUAGGGAAACUUACGCUAAUACCGCAUACGACCUACGGGUGAAAGCAGGGGAUCUUCGGACCUUGCGCGAUUGAAUGAGCCGAUGUCGGAUUAGCUAGUUGGCGGGGUAAAGGCCCACCAAGGCGACGAUCCGUAGCUGGUCUGAGAGGAUGAUCAGCCACACUGGACCUGAGCCACCGCCCCCACUCCUACGAGAGGCAGCAGUCGGGAAUAUUGGACAAUGGGCGCAAGCCUGACACAGCCAUACCGCGUGGGUGAAGAAGGCGUUCGGGUUGUAAAGCCGUUUUGUUGGGAAAGAACAGCAGCAAGUUCAUACCCGGCUGUUCUGACGGUACCCAAAGAAUAAGCAACGGCUAACUUCGUG
rnacentral:rRNA from 1 species